rnacentral:rRNA from 2 species
CACACGACUCUCGGUAACGGAUAUCUCGGCUCUCGCAUCGAUGAAGAACGUAGCGAAAUGCGAUACCUGGUGUGAAUUGCAGAAUCCCGCGAACCAUCGAGUCUUUGAACGCAAGUUGCGCCCGAGGCCACUCGGCCGAGGGCACGCCUGCCUGGGCGUCACGC